rnacentral:tRNA from 1 species
GACCGCGUAGCUCAGUUGGCAGAGCAUUGGGCUAGCAUUCCAAAGGUCGUAGGUUCGAUUCCCACCGUGAUCA